ACGGUACGGGUAACCUCGCCCAAGUAAGGGAGGGGGAACUAACAGUACCGAAACGGGUGCUAAUACCGCAUAGUUUUCUUGAUCGCAUGAUCGGGAAAGGAAAGACGGCCUUUGUGCUGUCGCUUAUGGAUGGACCCGCGGCGUAUUAGUUAGUUGGUGAGGUAACGGCUCACCAAGACGAUGAUACGUAGCCGACCUGAGAGGGUGAUCGGCCACAUUGGGACUGAGACACGGCCCAAACUCCUACGGGAGGCAGCAGUAGGGAAUCUUCCGCAAUGGACGAAAGUCUGACGGAGCAACGCCGCGUGAGUGAAAAGAAGGUUUUCGGAUCGUAAAACUCUGUUGUCAGAGAAGAACAAGUUGGAGAGUAACUGCUCCAGCCUUGACGGUAUCUGACCAGAAAGCCACGGCUAACUACGUGCCAGCCGCCGC
rnacentral:rRNA from 1 species